UUCUCCCUACAGGUGUCACUUAAGGAGAUCGUGCAGGAGAUUUACCCGGUACUCAUGGUCCAUGAAGACAUGUGUCACUGCACCUGCUUCUCACUGCACCUGGACAGCAACAUGCCAAACCACUUCCCAGGGCUGCGAAGCACUGAGGAGCUGCAGGAGGGCUCAGGGCUGUGCGUGAGGGAAGUGGGAAGUGAAAGAAUGGCUUGGAGAUGAGCCUCUUUCACUGUGUGCCACCUGAAUACAUCUUGCCAGGGACCCAGGAGGGGCCAUUGUAUCUCCAGAGCCAUGACUGGAAGCACUUUCAGUGCCUAAAAGUGCCUAGCAUGAGCAACUGGAACCCACUUCCUGGUAACUGCAAGAUGCAAGGGGACCUCAUGUACCUCUUUGCAAUUACAGACAAAGACCAGAAGGGCAGCAUCACUGCAUCCACGUGGGGCUCUUACUGGAUCCAGUCUACAGCCUAUCACUCAACCCCAAGCCCACCAGCCCCUGCUUCCUAAGCCAUUCCCCACUGGAGCUGCUCAAGUACAGCAGACUGAAUGUCACAAAACACUUUGUCAUGCCAUGAAAGAAAAGG
rnacentral:lncRNA from 1 species